CCGACUUUGGGUGUUACAAACUCUCAUGGUGUGACGGGCGGUGUGUACAAGGCCCGGGAACGUAUUCACCGCGGCAUGCUGAUCCGCGAUUACUAGCGAUUCCGACUUCAUGUAGGCGAGUUGCAGCCUACAAUCCGAACUGAGAAUGGCUUUAAGAGAUUAGCUUACUCUCGCGAGUUCGCAACUCGUUGUACCAUCCAUUGUAGCACGUGUGUAGCCCAGGUCAUAAGGGGCAUGAUGAUUUGACGUCAUCCCCACCUUCCUCCGGUUUGUCACCGGCAGUCUCACCAGAGUGCCCAACUUAAUGCUGGCAACUGAUAAUAAGGGUUGCGCUCGUUGCGGGACUUAACCCAACAUCUCACGACACGAGCUGACGACAACCAUGCACCACCUGUAUCCAUGUCCCCGAAGGGAACGUCUAAUCUCUUAGAUUUGCAUAGUAUGUCAAGACCUGGUAAGGUUCUUCGCGUAGCUUCGAAUUAAACCACAUGCUCCACCGCUUGUGCGGGCCCCCGUCAAUUCCUUUGAGUUUCAGCCUUGCGGCCGUACUCCCCAGGCGGAAUGCUUAAUGCGUUAGCUGCAGCACUGAAGGGCGGAAACCCUCCAACACUUAGCAUUCAUCGUUUACGGUAUGGACUACCAGGGUAUCUAAUCCUGUUUGCUACCCAUACUUUCGAGCCUCAGCGUCAGUUACAGACCAGACAGCCGCCUUCGCCACUGGUGUUCUUCCAUAUAUCUACGCAUUUCACCGCUACACAUGGAGUUCCACUGUCCUCUUCUGCACUCAAGUUUCCCAGUUUCCGAUGCACUUCUUCGGUUGAGCCGAAGGCUUUCACAUCAGACUUAAAAAACCGCCUGCGCUCGCUUUACGCCCAAUAAAUCCGGACAACGCUUGCCACCUACGUAUUACCGCGGCUGCUGGCACGUAGUUAGCCGUGGCUUUCUGGUUAAAUACCGUCAAUACCUGAACAGUUACUCUCAGAUAUGUUCUUCUUUAACAACAGAGUUUUACGAGCCGAAACCCUUCUUCACUCACGCGGCGUUGCUCCAUCAGACUUUCGUCCAUUGUGGAAGAUUCCCUACUGCUGCCUCCCGUAGGAGUUUGGGCCGUGUCUCAGUCCCAAUGUGGCCGAUUACCCUCUCAGGUCGGCUACGUAUCAUUGCCAUGGUGAGCCGUUACCCCACCAUCUAGCUAAUACGCCGCGGGACCAUCCAAAAGUGAUAGCCGAAGCCAUCUUUCAAACUCGGACCAUGCGGUCCAAGUUGUUAUGCGGUAUUAGCAUCUGUUUCCAGGUGUUAUCCCCCGCUUCUGGGCAGGUUUCCCACGUGUUACUCACCAGUUCGCCACUCACUCAAAUGUAAAUCAUGAUGCAAGCACCAAUCAAUACCAGAGU
rnacentral:rRNA from 1 species